rnacentral:ncRNA from 1 species
CCGACGGGACGACCGCGUCGGUGGCCGUGACCGGGACCGGGACGACCCGG